AGAGAGAGAAAGGAAGAGAAUGCAGAAAGACUCAGCAUAUGCUUCGAUGAAAAAAGACGAUGUUGUUAACCAUCGAGCGCCCGGCAAACUGGUUGCCAUCUCGAAUCCGGAAAAGACAGGAGAACUACGUGUGUAAUGCUAAAAUCGCGAAGACGCUCUUCGGAGAAGACGUUAAUAAUCUUAGGGGGAGCAAAGUUAUUUAAAUGCAGCGCUCACAGAAACCUUUCAAGGAAACGAAGGAAGACGAGUUCGCGGUGGUCUAUGGACAAGUUCGUUAGCGAAAAAUUGCAAUUCGUCUCGCUUGUAUCUGCCUGCCAGAAUCUGCUUUGCUUUGUCGCAAAUUGAAAAAUUAAUGCUCAGCUUGUCUCUCAAUAAAAGAGCCGUCCAAUUGA